AGCUCCAAGAGUGUAUAUUAAAGUUGUUGCGGUUAAAAAGCUCGUAGUUGGACUUGAGGGAUUUAUAUAAAGGGAUCUUUGUUUUAAAGCAAAGUCAUUCCUAUAUAUUUUUUCCUUUCUUUUUAUUUUUUUUUAAAGAUUGGGGUCAAACCUUUUCUUGUAGAAAUAGAUAGUUUACUUUGAAAAAAUUAGAGUGUUUAAAGCAGACAUGACAUGUACAAUUGAAUAUUACAGCAUGGGAUAAUAGAAUAGGACAUUAACCUUGAUUUUGUUGGUUUUGAAGGUUAAUAGUAAUGAUUAAAAGGGAUAGUUGGGGUCACUUGUAUUUGAUCGCUAGGGGUGAAAUCCUAUGAUUGAUCAAAGACAAACUACUGCGAAAGCAUUUGACAAGGAUGUUUUCA
rnacentral:rRNA from 1 species